rnacentral:lncRNA from 1 species
GGUAGAGCAUCUCUACUGCUGUGCAUCGCUCAGCUGUCACACACUCAGCUGUCCUGCGCAUCCACUCCACAGGAAACUUCCCACACCGCCAGUCUACACACACAAAGUGUAAGCGCUGUGUGACACACAUCUGGUUCCUCCCUCCCUGCUCUGGCUCUUUACUCUGAUUCCCUGAGCAGGCCCUGCUUCUCACUUCCACACCGUCUGAGAUGAGUUACUACAUGGAUCCAGUUUCUUCCUACCCAGCUCUUCACCCCUGUGACCGUCUGGGCGCACUGAGGCAGACUGGAGGAGUAGCUGUGGGUCCUCAAGUGCAGCUCCCAGGUGUAGUUCACCCUCAGCAGCAGUACUGCCCUUCACAGCCCUUAAUCUGUCACGACAUUCCUCUG